rnacentral:rRNA from 1 species
ACAGAGGGGGCAAGCGUUGUUCGGAAUUACUGGGCGUAAAGGGCGCGUAGGCGGCCUGCUAAGUCGAACGUGAAAUCCCCGAGCUCAACUCGGGAACUGCGUCCGAUACUGGUUGGCUUGAAUCCGGGAGAGGGAUGCGGAAUUCCAGGUGUAGCGGUGAAAUGCGUAGAUAUCAAGAGGAACACCUGAGGCGAAGGCGGGUUGCUAGGCUGACACUGACGCUGAGGCGCGAAAGCUAGGGUAGCAAACGGGA